rnacentral:rRNA from 1 species
CCUAUGGGGGGCAGCAGUCGCGAAAACUUCACAAUGGGGGAAACCCCGAUGAGGGAAUUCCAAGUGCCAGCACAUUGUGUUGGCUGUUCUUUGGUCUAAAAAACCAGAGAAGUAAGGGCCGGGUAAGACGGGUGCCAGCCGCCGCGGUAAUACCCGCGGCCCGAGUGGUGGUCGAUAUUAUUGAGCCUAAAACGUCCGUAGCCGGUUUUGUAAAUCCUUGGGUAAAUCGACCAGCUUAACUGUUCGAAGUCCGGGGAGACUGCAAGACUUGGGAUCGGGAGAGGUGAGAGGUACUUCUGGGGUAGGGGUAAAAUCCUGUAAUCCUAGAAGGACCACCGGUGGCGAAGGCGUCUCACUAGAACGAAUCCGACGGUGAGGGACGAAGCCCUGGGGCGCAAACGGGAUUAGAUACCCCCGUAGUCC